rnacentral:rRNA from 1 species
ACACUCCUGCGGGAGGCAGCAGUGGGGAAUAUUGGACAAUGGGCGCAAGCCUGAUCCAGCCAUGCCGCGUGAGUGAUGAAGGCCCUAGGGUUGUAAAGCUCUUUCACCGGUGAAGAUAAUGACGGUAACCGGAGAAGAAGCCCCGGCUAACUUCGUGCCAGCAGCCGCGGUAAUACGAAGGGGUCUAGCGUUGUUCGGAUUUACUGGGCGUAAAGCGCACGUAGGCGGACUAUUAAGUCAGGGGUGAAAUCCCGGGGCUCAACCCCGGAACUGCCUUUGAUACUGGUAGUCUUGAGUUCGAGAGAGGUGAGUGGAAUGCCGAGUGUAGAGGUGAAAUUCGUAGAUAUUCGGAGGAACACCAGUGGCGAAGGCGGCUCACUGGCUCGAUACUGACGCUGAGGUGCGAAAGCGUGGGGAGCAAACAGGAUUAGAAACCCUGGUAGUCCCAUGAU